UAGGGAAUCUUCCACAAUGGACGAAAGUCUGAUGGAGCAACGCCGCGUGAGUGAAGAAGGGUUUCGGCUCGUAAAACUCUGUUGUUAAAGAAGAACAUGUCUGAGAGUAACUGUUCAGGUAUUGACGGUAUUUGACCAGAAAGCCACGGCUAACUACGUGCCAG
rnacentral:rRNA from 1 species